rnacentral:sRNA from 1 species
AAAAAAGCUAUCUUGCCAGUCUUAAAUCAGCAGUUCAGUCUGAAAAAUGACACAGUUCUCAAAGAAGAACCUGGGAUGUAGGAUGGACAUAAACCUGAUGGCAAAACAAGAUACGUGAAAGCUUUGGGUUCAGUAGCAAGGACGUCAUGAACGCACCUUCCAACAAAAAACAACAAUUCGAUAGUCCUGCAAUUUGUUAGAAAGAGGGAAAAUAGGUGUUUGAUUUUGAGGCAGCGUUGGUUGUUUCUUAUGAAGGUCGCCAUCCAGGAGAUCACCCAAAGUCUGAGUAUAAAGAAGAUAAUAAAUACUAGUGA